rnacentral:rRNA from 1 species
UACAGAGGUCUCAAGCGUUGUUCGGAUUCAUUGGGCGUAAAGGGUGCGUAGGUGGCGUAGUAAGUCAGGUGUGAAAUCUCGGGGCUUAACUCCGAAACUGCAUUUGAUACUGCGGUGCUUGAGGACUGGAGAGGAGACUGGAAUUUACGGUGUAGCAGUGAAAUGCGUAGAGAUCGUAAGGAAGACCAGUGGCGAAGGCGGGUCCCUGGACAGUUCCUGACACUGAGGCACGAAGGCCAGGGGAGCAAACGGG